AAUAAACUAAUCUUUCACUUUUAUCUAUAAUAUUUGAUUUUUCGUCUUAUUUAAAAUUCUUUUACGAUUUAUAUUUUGAUUUUAUUAGAUGAUAAAUUAUGAAUAGUACUUUACGUGUGACUAAUUUUUUAAAAAAAUUCUUAAAUUUUUUUCAAAUAAGACGGAUAGUCAAACACUGGACACACAAACGUAAAGUUUGUCUUAUU
rnacentral:pre_miRNA from 1 species